UCACAUGACAGCAUUACUCAGAGCUCUCUCACACUGCAAGCAAACAGACGUGGGCUGACUGCAUUCUGUUUUGCUGAGAAUCAAGCAGACUUUGCCAUGCAACUGUGCAUUAAAGCUACGAACAGGAAGCUAAAUUCUCCAGGAGCAGCACUCAGAACCCAAACAUAGAAAGGACUGCAUCCUCCUUCUCCUCCACUAACAGAGCCAAGGGAAGAGAACUACUAGAGUAGCUCUCUUCACUCUUGUGGCACUGACACCCUGAUCCUCAGUGGAGGCACUGAUGGGAGCUCCAGCCCUGUGUCUUUCUGAAGAGCAGGAAUGUAGCCUGAGAUGUGCGGUGACCCAGGCACCACCAGACUCAGCCUUGGUGAAGUUUUUCAAGCUCUGGUCAUGCAGUGAGUCAACAGUGAAGCCAGAAACAAAAUCCAAGAACUCAUGUGAGAAGUGCUCCCGGCAUUUCCCCCCAGCCAUCUCCAGUGCAGGCACAACGCUAGGAGCCAGGCAGCAGGUCAGGAGCACUGCCACAAGCGUGGCUGAGAGCAGAUUUACAUGGGUGCUGAAUGGAACGGCAGGGCAGCACGGAUCCCACUUCCAGCAGCACUUCCACUUGCAUGGCCAGUCUCCACCAGCAGGGACGCAGCACACAGCACCGUGAGCACAGGGCAAAACGUCUGGGUGCCGAGUCAGCCUCCUGCUCCAUACCACCAGGUCAUGCUAAUUAUACAUUAGACUCAUCACGUGGUGGCUAUAUUUACUCCAAGAAUUACAGCUGAGUUUCCUCCCUCUCACAUCUAUGCGUGUGUACACACAGACAUAAACACAGUAUGUAGUUUUAGCUA